AACCUAGCACACCUGCGGUGUGUACCUGCGGAGGGAUCAUUACACAAUACAAUAUGAAGGCUGUCCGCAGCUGGAGUAUUUUAUUACCCUUGUCUUUUGCGCACUUGUUGUUUCCUGGGCGGGUUCGCUCGCCACCAGGACCACCAAAUAAACCUUUUUUAUGCAGUUGCAAUCAGCGUCAGUACAAACAAUGUAAAUCAUUUACAACUUUUAACAACGGAUCUCAGAUCGGAAGAGCAC
rnacentral:misc_RNA from 1 species